GUGGAUUAGAUACCCUAGUAGUCCAUGCCGUAAACGAUGUCUACUAGCCGUUGGGGCCUUUGAGGCUUUAGUGGCGCAGCUAACGCGAUAAGUAGACCGCCUGGGGAGUACGGUCGCAAGACUAAAACUCAAAUGAAUUGACGGGGGCCCGCACAAGCGGUGGAGCAUGUGGUUUAAUUCGAUGCAACGCGAAGAACCUUACCUGGUCUUGACAUAGUAAGAACUUUCCAGAGAUGGAUUGGUGCCUUCGGGAGCUUACAUACAGGUGCUGCACGGUCGUCGCCAACU
rnacentral:rRNA from 1 species